CAGCAGCCGCGGGAAUACAGAGGGUGCAAGCGUUAAUCGGAAUUACUGGGCGUAAAGCGUGCGUAGGCGGUUCGUUAAGUCUGUUGUGAAAGCCCCGGGCUCAACCUGGGAAUGGCAAUGGAUACUGGCGAGCUAGAGUGUGUCAGAGGAUGGUGGAAUUCCCGGUGUAGCGGUGAAAUGCGUAGAGAUCGGGAGGAACAUCAGUGGCGAAGGCGGCCAUCUGGGACAACACUGACGCUGAGGCACGAAAGCGUGGGGAGCAAACAGGAUUAGAUACCCCGGUAGUCCCUGUCUCUUAUAC
rnacentral:rRNA from 1 species